UACAGAGGGUGCAAGCGUUAAUCGGAAUUACUGGGCGUAAAGCGUGCGUAGACGGUUACGUAAGUCGGAUGUGAAAGCCCCGGGCUCAACCUGGGAAUGGCAUUCGAGACUGUGUAGCUAGGAUGCGGAAGAGGGAAGCGGAAUUCCCGGUGUAGUGGUGGAAUGCGUAGAUAUCGGGAGGAACACCAGUGGCGAAGGCGGCUUCCUGGACCUGUUCUGACGCUGAGGAGCGAAAGCGUGGGGAGCGAUCCGG
rnacentral:rRNA from 1 species